CAACAGACUGAAUUGUAAAAUAAAAUUGAAAAUGAUUUAUAUUUAGGAAACUCCAGGAAAUAACCAAAGUAAUGUAAACCCAGUUAAUUCUUUGUUGAUAUAUAUAUAUUUAAAAAAUGCUUUAUUUAUUGGUAGUUACAACUAAAGGAAAUCUGAUACAUCCCAGGAAAAAUAAACUAGGGCUUUGCCUAACGAUUACUUUCAUUAUUGAUUCAUCUGCAGGAUAUUUUUUCAAUCAAUCGCUUGGUCUAAUAGUGAAAAAUGCUCAUCAAAAUUUUCUAAACCCCAAGAUGACGUCCUCAAAUGUCUUGUUUUGUCCACAAAUUCAAAGAUAUUCAUCAAUUUACUGUCAUAAAGAAGUAAAGAAACCAGAAAAUAUUCACAUUUAAGAUGCUGGAAUCUGAGAAUU